CUGCAGCUCCGGCCUUCAAAGAGACGAUCAGGUAACCCGGCUGGGGCUCUUAAUCAGCCAGCACAGCCCUGUCUGCCCCGCCAGCCCCCGCACUACAGGGGGGAUAACACAGGUGGGGGAACCCAUUGUAUCCCUUAAUCCCCUCACUUGAUACAUCCCCUGUAUACUGAUGGGAUGGGAGUGAUGGGAUUGGGGGUUGGGUUCGGUGUUCAUUGAAUUGAGAUUGUAUAUAAAUUCUGUGUGUUUGUAAAUAAAGUUCUUGUUUUACUGUGAA